rnacentral:rRNA from 1 species
AUUGAACGCUGGCGGCAGGCCUAACACAUGCAAGUCGAGCGGGUGAAGGGAGCUUGCUCCUGGAUUCAGCGGCGGACGGGUGAGUAAUGCCUAGGAAUCUGCCUGGUAGUGGGGGAUAACGUCCGGAAACGGGCGCUAAUACCGCAUACGUCCUGAGGGAGAAAGUGGGGGAUCUUCGGACCUCACGCUAUCAGAUGAGCCUAGGUCGGAUUAGCUAGUUGGUGGGGUAAAGGCCUACCAAGGCGACGAUCCGUAACUGGUCUGAGAGGAUGAUCAGUCACACUGGAACUGAGACACGGUCCAGACUCCUACGGGAGGCAGCAGUAGGGAAUAUUGGACAAUGGGCGAAAGCCUGAUCCAGCCAUGCCGCGUGUGUGAAGAAGGUCUUCGGAUUGUAAAGCACUUUAAGUUGGGAGGAAGGGCAGUAAGUUAAUACCUUGCUGUUUUGACGUUACCAACAGAAUAAGCACCGGCUAACUUCGUG